GGAUUAGAUACCCUGGUAGUCCACGCCGUAAACGAUGAUGACUAGCUGUCGGGAUGCUUGGCAUUUCGGUGGCGCAGCUAACGCAUUAAGUCAUCCGCCUGGGGAGUACGGCCGCAAGGUUAAAACUCAAAGGAAUUGACGGGGGCCUGCACAAGCGGUGGAGCAUGUGGUUUAAUUCGAAGCAACGCGCAGAACCUUACCAGCGUUUGACAUGUCCGGUUUGGUUUCCAGAGAUGGAUUCCUUCAGUUCGGCUGGCCGGAACACAGGUGCUGCAUGGCUGUCGUCAGCUCGUGCCG
rnacentral:rRNA from 1 species